rnacentral:rRNA from 1 species
AGAGUUUGAUCAUGGCUCAGGAUGAACGCUGGCGGUAUGCUUAACACAUGCAAGUCGAACGGGUACUUCGGUACUAGUGGCGGACGGGUGAGUAACGCGUGAGAAUCUGGCUUCAGGUCGGGGACAACAGUUGGAAACGACUGCUAAUACCGGAUGUGCCUUUAGGGGUGAAAGAUUAAUUGCCUGAAGAUGAGCUCGCGUCUGAUUAGCUAGUUGGUGUGGUAAAGGCGCACCAAGGCGACGAUCAGUAGCUGGUCUGAGAGGAUGAUCAGCCACACUGGAACUGAGACACGGUCCAGACUCCUACGGGAGGCAGCAGUGGGGAAUUUUCCGCAAUGGGCGAAAGCCUGACGGAGCAAUACCGCGUGGGGGAGGAAGGCUCUUGGGUUGUAAACCUCUUUUCUCAGGGAAUAAUGAUGAAGGUACCUGAGGAAUCAGCAUCGGCUAACUCCGUGCCAGCAGCCGCGGUAAUUC